AAGGCAUUACUUCAUUAUCCUACAUUCUCAUAAUGUUCUUGAAAAGUCAGAGCCCUUUUAUUCCUGAUCUUCAGUAAGAGAAGACUGGAAAUAAGGAAGAAGUCUUCCUGAGCUACAGAAUCAUUCUACUUCUUUGAAAUAAAGAAAGUUGAAAAGAGGGCACUUCUUUUUCUGCCAAAGAUCUGGAAACACUUUGUCCCUGGUUGGACUUUCAGCCAAAUGAGGAUCUCCAUAGGAAUGGAAGAAAUCACACACUCUGCUCCAGAAUCCUACAUUUGCCAGGUCACAUUGCUUUACUUUGGAUUCCUACCAUCUGGGAAAAGGUCAGUCCAAAGACCUAAGACCUACCAUGGUGCUGCAGAUUGCUGAGCAAUGUCAUGGAAUAUGUCCUCUUGCAUCUUUGCCAGUGCCAACCUGCUACUGGUGAGGUACAGCAGUCUGAAAAGAAGUCAUCUGAGAACGGAAUUCUAACAACUUAAGAAAUAUUUCCUGCAGCCACCCCUCUUCUUUCCAAUUUGCAAAAAGCCAUUUCAAAAAUUUCUGAGCAGUGACACUAUAAGAAAAAGUAAACUACAGACCAAUAUCUCUGAUGAAUGUAGAUGCAAAAUCCACUACAAAAUUCUAGCAAACUCAAUCCAACAAUAUAUGAAAAAAAAUUCUCAAUUAAGUGGGAUUUAUUCCAGAGAUGCAAGCAUGCGUCAAUAUUUGCAAAUCAAGCAACGUGAUGUAUCAUAUCAUAAGAGAAAGGAUAAAAACCUUAUGAUUAUUUUAAUGGAUGCAGA